CAGCCGCCACGGUAAUACAGAGGGUGCAAGCUUUAAUCGGAUUUACUGGGCGUAAAGGGCGCGUAGGUGGUUAUUUAAGUGAGAUGUGAAAGCCCCGGGCUUAACCUGGGAACUGCAUCUUAUACUGGGUAACUGGAGUGCAGUAGAGGGUAGUGGAAUUUCCGGUGUAGCGGUGAAAUGCGUAGAUAUCGGAAGGAACACCAGUGGCGAAGGCGGCUACCUGGACUGAGACUGACACUGAGGCGCGAGAGCGUGGGGAGCAAACAGGAUUAGAUACCCCUGUAGUCCCUGUCUCUUAUAA
rnacentral:rRNA from 1 species